GAUCAUGGCUCAGGACGAACGCUGGCGGCGUGCCUAACACAUGCAAGUCGAACGGAACUUACCGAAUGAAGUCUUCGGAUGGAUUUUGAUAAGUUUAGUGGCGGACGGGUGAGUAACGCGUGAGUAACCUGCCUUCAAGAGGGGAAUAACGUUCUGAAAAGAACGCUAAUACCGCAUAACAUACGGAUGUCGCAUGGCAACCGUAUCAAAGAUUUUAUCGCUUGAAGAUGGACUCGCGUCCGAUUAG
rnacentral:rRNA from 1 species